ACUAUACGCUUGGUUGGGACUUCGAGCCCUUUAGAGACGAGGGCGACUACACCGAGUUCAUCCAGGCUUAUCUCAUGCAACCUUUGACCAGUCCUCGCCGAGCCGAGAGAGAGAGGCCUGCAGCGCCAGCGGCAGGAGCAGGAGCAUUGAGGGCGCCUCCGGCCUGUGGGAGGAAUGGGUCCCGGAGAGGACAGGGAGCAGGAUGGCCAGAGCUGCCUACGACGAUGACAUGCCGAGGACAGGGUGGGGAAACGUACCAGAUACCCAUCGCUCCUCCUCCAGCUGAUCAUGAGCUUAUCGGAGUCUACGGCUCAACCCCGGCUUCCAUCGAGUAUACUAGGCAGUCUUUGGAGCUGACGGCUUCCGUGAUAGGGAUGCUGUAGCGAAGCAUUGACCUACUCACCAUCUACGGGAUUCCGGCCCCAUUCCAGAUUCCGGCCACGGGAGGUGCUCCAGCUGGACCAUCUAUACCUACUCGAGGAGGAGGGGGAGUCAGGCGGAGGAUGACGAUCCACAGCUGAGGCAGACACAGGCGUGCCCGUGCUGAGAGCAGUUCAUGAGAGCCCUCCCUUGAUGAUUCUGAUGAGGAGGCGGCGGCGUCCCAGGGUGAGGCCGGAGACAGCUCAGACUCUGACUACGGAGCCAGCAGUGGUGAUCCUGGACCCUCGUCCAAGAAGAGGACCAGGACGGAUUCUCGCACUCGAAAUGACUAAUAUUGAUCCAGACUUUUGCUGCUUUUCUUCUUUUUAGCUUUGUUCAGACAUUUUGUUGCUUUUCUUUUCCUUUUUGCUUUAUUUCCUUUUUUUUGCUAGUAGU